rnacentral:misc_RNA from 1 species
AGCUUGAUCAUGCGGUCGAUGAACGUCGACCCCUGCGCCGCGGUGAUGCGGACGCGGAUCCAGUCGGACAGAACCUGCGUGCCGCCGGUCACCGCUGAACGAUCGCCGCCCGACUCGCGGAUCACCGGAGCCGNNUUGACGGAGGCAACGCCUUCGAUGACUUCGCCGUCGGACGGGAUGUUAUCACCCGCCUCCACCAGCACGAUGUCGCCGACCUUCAGGCUGGUGCCCGGCACCAGGCGA